GCAAGGAAUUUUCGUCAAUGGGGGCAACCCUGAACGAGCAACGCCGCGUGGAGGAUGACGGCCUUCGGGUUGUAAACUCCUUUUGGGGGGGAAGAGACUGACGGUACCCCCUGAAUAAGGCUCGGCUAACUCUGUGCCAGCAGCCGCGGUAAGACAGAGGAGCCAAGCGUUGUCCGGACUGACUGGGCGUAAAGCGCACGCAGGCGGCGCUGCGCGUGGGGUGUGAAAGCUCUUGGCUUAACUGAGAGAGGCCAUCCCAUACGGCAGUGCUCGAGCGGUGCAGAGGUCCGCGGAAUUGCCGGUGUAGUGGUGAAAUGCGUAGAGAUCGGCAGGAACACCCAGGGGGAAACCAGCGGACUGGGCAUCAGCUGACGCUCAGGUGCGACAGCGUGGGGAGCGAACCGGAUUAGAAACCCUUGUAGUCC
rnacentral:rRNA from 1 species